rnacentral:rRNA from 1 species
CUGGAGAACUGAGGGGGCUGCUCCUAGUACGAGAGGACCGGAGUGGACGCAUCACUGGUGUUCGGGUUGUCAUGCCAAUGGCACUGCCCGGUAGCUAAAUGCGGAAGAGAUAAGUGCUGAAAGCAUCUAAGCACGAAACUUGCCCCGAGAUGAGUUCUCCCUGAGACUUAGAGUCUCCUGAAGGAACGUUGAAGACGACGACGUUGAUAGGCCGGGUGUGUAAGCGCAGCGAUGCGUUGAGCUAACCGGUACUAAUGAACCGUGAGGCUUAACCUUAC